AGUUACCAGCACGUUAUGGUGGGCACUCUAAGGAGACUGCCGGUGACAAACCGGAGGAAGGUGGGGAUGACGUCAAGUCAUCAUGGCCCUUACGGCCUGGGCUGCACACGUGCUACAAUGGUCGGUACAAAGGGUUGCCAAGCCGCGAGGUGGAGCUAAUCCCAUAAAACCGAUCGUAGUCCGGAUCGCAGUCUGCAACUCGACUGCGUGAAGUCGGAAUCGCUAGUAAUCGUGAAUCAGAAUGUCACGGUGAAUACGUUCCCGGGCCUU
rnacentral:rRNA from 1 species